AUUCUUACCUGGCAGGAAAAAUGCCAUGAUCACGAAGAUGGUUUUUCCAGGCGAGGCUUAGCAACUUUACUCGGGAUGUGCUGACCUCUGCGAUUUCCCGAAAUGUGGGAAUCUUGACUACAUAAUUUGUAGCAGUGGGGAACUGUGUUUGCGCUUUCCCCUG
ensembl:snRNA U1 U1 spliceosomal RNA